CGCAACCCCUGCUUUCAGUUACCAACGGGUCAUGCCGGGAACUCUGGAGAGACUGCCCAGGAGAACGGGGAGGAAGGUGGGGAUGACGUCAAGUCAGCAUGGCCUUUAUGCCUGGGGCCACACACGUGCUACAAUGGCCGGUACAAAGGGCUGCAAACCCGCAAGGGGGAGCCAAUCCCAAAAAACCGGCCUCAGUUCAGAUUGAGGUCUGCAACUCGACCUCAUGAAGGCGGAAUCGCUAGUAAUCGCGGAUCAGCACGCCGCGGUGAAUACGUUCCCGGGCCUUGUACACACCGCCCGUCACACCACGAAAGUUUGUUGUACCUGAAGUCGUUGGCGCCAACCGCAAGGAGGCAGACGCCCACGGUAUGACCGAUGAUUGGGGUGAAGUCGUAACAAGGUAAAGGGCGAAUUCCAGCAC
rnacentral:rRNA from 1 species